rnacentral:rRNA from 1 species
GAUGAACGCUGGCGGCGUGCCUAACACAUGCAAGUCGAACGGACAGACCCGGCUCUUGUGCGUCUCUCGAUUGGGGAACGCGUGAGUAACACGCGAGGAACCCGUCCCUGUCUGUCUGGGAACAUCACGGAACACGGGCUAUUAUACCGUAUGAGCUGCUGCUGCGCGGGGGUCAUCGGAAAAUGUCGGUUUUGCGGGCUGUACUCGCGGCUUAUCAGCUUGUUGGUGAGGUAGCGGCUUACCAAGGCUUCGACGGGUAGCCGGCCUGAGAGGGUGAGCGGCCACACUGGAACGGAGACACGGUCCAGACUCCUACGGGAGGCAGCAGUAGGGAAUGUGACGCAAUGGGCGAAAGCCUGACGGAGCAACGCCGCGUGAGUGAAGAAGGUCUUCGGAGCGGAAAGCUCUGUUAUGAGGGAAGAACAAAUGUGGAAGGAACUAUGCACGUCUUGACGGUACCGAAUCAGAAAGCCACGGCUAACUACGUG